GAUGAACGCUAGCGAUAGGCUUAACACAUGCAAGUCGAGGGGCAGCAUAGGAGUAGCAAUACUUUGGUGGCGACCGGCGCACGCGUGUGUAACACGUAUGCAACCUACCCAUAACUGGGGAAUAACCCGUCGAAAGGCGGACUAAUACCGCAUCACAAGUGUGAUCCGCAUGGAUUGCAUUUUAACGCUUAAUUGGUUAUGGAUUGGCAUGCGUUCCAUUAGGUAGUUGUCGGGGCAACGGCCCACCAAGCCUGCGAUGGAUAGGGGUUCUGAGAGGAAGGUGCCCCACACUGGUACGGAGACACGGACCAGACUCCUACGGGAGGCAGCAGUGAGGAAUAUUGGUCAAUGGGCGAGAGCCUGAACCAGCCAAAUCGCGUGAAGGAUGAAGGUAUUAUGUAUUGUAAACUUCUUUUAUAGGGAAAUAAAGUGCAGCACGUGUGCUGUUUUGUAUGUACCCUAGGAAUAAGGAUCGGCUAACUCCGUGCCAGCAGCCGCUGUAACAC
rnacentral:rRNA from 1 species